rnacentral:rRNA from 1 species
GACGAACGCUGGCGGCGUGCCUAAUACAUGCAAGUCGAACGCAGUGGGGACGGGUGAGUAACACGUGGGUAACCUCCCAUCAGAGGGGAUAACACUUGGAAACAGGUGCUAAACCGAUACUGAUGGAUGGACCCGCGGUGCAUUAGCUACUUGGGGAGGUAACGGGUCACCAAGGCCGCGAUGCAUAGCCGACCUGAGAGGGGGAGCGGCCACACUGGGACUGGGACACGGCCCAGGCGCCUACGGGAGGCAGCAGUAGCGAAUCUGCGGCAAGGGACGAAAGUCGGACCGAGCAACGCCGCGUGAGUUAAGGAGGUGUUCGGAUCGUAAAACUCUGUUGUUAGAGAAGCGGUAUCUAACCAGAAAGCCACGGCUAACUACGUGCCAGCAGCCGCGGUAAUAC